GUUUACCUGCUUCAGGUGGUUCAUGUCCUGGCGGUAACGGUCCUCAGGAGUCUCCGGCUCGGCGGCGGCGGCCUGGGAGUACAAGAGGGAGCGGAGCGUAAGCUCACCAGUGUGACAUUGAAACAACUUGGAAGUGAUUUGAACGUUGAAAAACUUGGAUGGCUCUUUAUUGUGUAUUCCACAGAUUGUGUCACAAUGUCCUGGUCUGUGCUUGCUGUAAAUAAAGAAGUGUCAUCCUGGACGUCCUCCUCAUCUGACUGAACAGUUGGUGUCUCGGCUCCACUGGCUGAAUUCAGGCUCUUUGGGUCCGUGGAAUGAGAG